rnacentral:rRNA from 1 species
UAGGGAAUCUUCGGCAAUGGACGAAAGUCUGACCGAGCAACGCCGCGUGAGUGAAGAAGGUUUUCGGAUCGUAAAACUCUGUUGUUAGAGAAGAACAAGGACGUUAGUAACUGAACGUCCCCUGACGGUAUCUAACCAGAAAGCCACGGCUAACUACGUGCCAGCAGCCGCGGUAAUACGUAGGUGGCAAGCGUUGUCCGGAUUUAUUGGGCGUAAAGCGAGCGCAGGCGGUUUCUUAAGUCUGAUGUGAAAGCCCCCGGCUCAACCGGGGAGGGUCAUUGGAAAGUGGGAGACUUGAGUGCAGAAGAGGGGAGUGGAAUUCCAUGUGUAGCGGUGAAAUGCGUAGAUAUAGGGAGGAACACCAGUGGCGAAGGCGGCUCUCUGGUCUGUAACUGACGCUGAGGCUCGAAAGCGUGGGGAGCAAACAGG